rnacentral:sRNA from 1 species
UUGUGGACUUUCUUUAGAUGACUCUUGUAUUGUAAAUAUUUCCCUGCUUCUUGGAACAAGGAACAUAGGAUGUCUUGAUGCCAACUUAGUUCUCCCUGGAAAUAUGAUAAAAAGAUGUUUAAGCAGAAAAAACCCUUAACUUGAGGGUUAUAAAAGUAUAAAACUAAUUCCUCGUGGCCUUUUUAUUCACGCAUGCGCGAUAGUUCGUGAGCAGACGAACCACUGAAAGAGUUUUGCGCAGUCUAGUUGCAUCCAGCCAAAUAGAGCAAGGGCGAAACGCGUACCCCCUUCUGAUUUACGAACGCACCUUGCGCGUGGCGGCCAUGUUUGUAUCUUGAGAGUUUUCUGCGGUUUUUUUGUCCUACUAUUCCUUAUGUGAUUGGAACUCCGUCUUCUAAGAAUAUUCACAAAAAAUAUUUGCGUAACAGUUGGAUUAUCUAAAACUACAUCAUUACAAAGUUUCACGAUGUGCUGCAUAGUAAAAGGAUGCACUCGAAGUAGAUUAACUAAUAACGACGCAAGGUUUUACUCCAUUCCCAAAGUGAGAAAUGACGAAACAGAGUUGUUGGUGGAAAGAAGAGCUCUUUGGUUAAAAAGAGUUAACAUUAAAGAAAAACAACUGCUUGUUUCUGGUAAAGUUUGCGACAAGCACUUCAUUUUAGGCAAACCUAGUUAUGAACGUGAUAUAUCUAAUCCAGAUUGGGCACCAACUUUGUUAUUAGAAAACAACGAACAGCUUUCAGCAAACAGGUGUCAGAGAAGAUAUAUACAUAGCCAGGCUAGAGCAUUAUUAGAUAUUUCAGCAAGGUUUGCUAGGAAAGGAACUAUUUGCUUUGAAGAGCCUGAACAGCAGAUUGAGAUUGAUUCAAGACAUGAUGAUUGAAGUAAUUCUCCAUUACUUUCAUUGCUAUUGAUUAUGGCAAGCGAUUCGACACACGAACUACCAGACGGAGACUGAGACUGAGAGUCUUGGGAAACACAGGAACCUAAAAUGCUCUUCAAGCUAGCUGCAAGCAGUGGAACAAGGCAAGAGAGGGUAGAGUUACUGCCAGUAAAGUUUACGACGUGUCAAAAACCAACCUGAGUAAUCCUUCGAAAUCCCUAUUACAACAAGUGGCGUACCCAACGGAUUGUGCGUUCCGCUCAAAAGCCACAGACUGGGGGAUAAAGCACGAAGGGGCAGCAAUAAGGAGAUUCAAACAAUAUAUGAAAGAGGCAAACUUACAUACCAACUUUGAGAUACAUGGCGCUGGCUUGUAUGUUUGUCCUUCACAUGGAUAUUUGGCGGCAACCCCUGAUGGAAUUUUCAAAUGCGCUUGUCACGAAGAUGCUGUGAUGGAAAUGAAAUGUCCCUAUUCUCACAGGAAUAAUACUUCAGGCGAAGCUGCUACUCCCGAUACAAAGUUCUGUCUGACCGUAGACGACAAUGGAAUAUUACAACGAAAACGAUGUCAGCCCUACUUCUAUCAGGUUCAGCUACAGAUGUUGGUUUGUGAACUCAAGCGAUGUUUCUUUUGCAUUUAUACGUUGAAAGACUUUGGUUGCUUCUUGAUUAAUUUCCAAGAAGAAUUUGUUUAUGAAACACUUGUAUCAAAAUCAAAAUUGUAUAUUCUACAGGUUGUAUUACCUCUUAAAAGCAAAUUCUUAAAAGCAAAUAGUUCCUUUCCUAGCAAACCUAGCUGAAAUAUCUAAUAAUGCUGUAAACUAGUGUUAUUGAUGUCAACAGAAAUAUAAUUGAACUUCAACCACAAACCUCUAGCCUGGCUAAGUAUAUAUCUUCUCUGACACCUGUUUGCUGAAAGCUGUUCGUUGUUUUCUAAUAACAAAGUUGGUGCCCAAUCUGGAUUAGAUAUAUCACGUUCAUAACUAGGUUUGCCUAUUAUGAAUAUAAAGGAAAGUAUUAGCUACAAAUUGACAAGUAAAACAUGAAGACGGAGUUCCAAUCACAUAAGGAAUAGUAGGACAAAAAAACCGCAGAAAACUCUCAAGAUACAAACAUGGCCGCCACGCGCAAGGUGCGUUCGUAAAUCAGAAGGGGGUACGCGUUUCGCCCUUGCUCUAUACUAGUAGAACCCGAAACAUUGUUUUGACAAGUUCUGUCAUGUUGGGGUUGCAGGUUUUCACAAAAGACCAAGGUGUUGCAGCUUUUAUUCCGUGUUUUUCUUGCUAUCAACAGUACAGGCUGACCAACGACAGUUUUAGCUACAAAUAUUUGACGCCUCGUCUUGCAACUAGCUGUUGAUAUUCUAGGUUUUUUAAAUUUAAAAUUGGAAUCAACUGUCUGAGAUGUCGUUACCCCUGGCAAACGGGAGGCGCUAACGUCUGCUAACGUCAAAAUUGUCUAUUUCCCCCCGUCAGCUAAGGAGUACAAAAGCGUAAGUUCUUCUAAUAGACCAACAUAUCUGCGAGCAAGGAUCUGCUUAGGGACAGUGAGACAUCAGCGAAUACAACAACGGAACCAUAUCCAAAUUGUAGCACAAAACUUGUACAGCUGUGAUACCUCCCAAACACCUAUGCAGUUUGGAAUGCUUGUCAGGCGAAUGCAGAUUAAUGUAAAAGAUGUCAAAUGUUAGACAUGUGGAAAAGGCCUGAUAGGAUGUGUGGGCGCCUUUGGUAACAUAGAUUGGAACUUAUGAUUUUUCAUGUUGGCUACACCAAGGCAGUAAUAACUGUGCUGCAAACAAUCUGCAAAACAUGCUUGUCUGUCCAUCUCAGUGAUGAGAUGGCAAAUUUGUUGAGUAAAUCUGACUAAGGAAGCAAAUCUGAGAAGUGUUCCUAAAAGUAACUUGUCCCAGUGUGAUUUUCAUAGCAGCCCAUCAUUUGUUCCAAAGAUUUUUUUAUGAAGCUACAACAUAGGAGGUCUUUACCCAGUAAGCAUCAUACAGGGAGCUCCUAUGUAUGAAAGGAACUUUCUUCAGUAUUGAUACUGGGAUAAAUGACUUUGUUCUCAUCAACUUUCAGUUUAAAGAAACCAUUAACUCCUCAAAGACCACAAGUACACCUGUUACCACCACCCGGUUCCAAAUCGAUGAUUGCUUGGAUUCUAGAAAAAAACAAUGCUCGUGACUCGGUGUCGCCAACGUGAUACAAAGUUAUUCAACUCUUUACAUCAAACCUGUUGAGAAGGAUGCCCCAGGCUGGACACUAUUACUCCAAUUGAAAAUGAAUGGACACAGGUAACAAGUUUAGAGAGACUUUUAUCAGAUCACCUUGCAACCUCUUACUUUCAUUUGAAAGUAAUUCAAGUAGGUCGUCCUAAUGCAAUAAUAAUUUCCGAUUUAAUUUUUUGAUUUAGUUCAUUUAUAGCACUCAUGCAAGAUGCAACCACCAUUUAGACAUCUUAAAAACGUAUUUUAGGAUAUGCAAACUAUGGCACUUAAUUUUUAUAUAAUAUAACCUUCCAUACGUCACUUUUAUUGUAGCUGACAGUGACUGUAAUUAUGGCUUACUUAGCCCAUGCUUAUCCAGAGCUGCCUUGUUGAUCCCCGCCCUAAAAACUAUCAUCUUCAAAAGCUUCCAGGUUUGUUGUGGUCGUAGAACAGCAGACGACGAAGUUCAAAGCGGCAUUGUACCAUCGGACAGAAUCCAAACGGUUGAUGCAUUGAAAAUGUCGGAGCUCUGUUGAUGAAUUUUCACCAGCACUCUUCCACAAGACGCGCGCGAAGCAAACGAUAGCAAAGGAGAUAUGGACUUGAAGUGGUUGUUUACCACCCGUGGCUUUCCCGCAUCCCAGGAUUAGUCUUGUACACCUUUUGCACUUGUACAGAGCGUUCGGGAACGAAAUUAGUUGUGGAUGGGUUUGCUGUUGACAAGCAAGGGAAGGAUUUUUACUACCAAACUAGAUAGGAAUGAAAUUUGUUGUGGCUGGUUUGGUUGUUGACAAGCAAGGGAAGGAUUUUUUUACCAAAGUAGACAGGAUAUUUAUUCUUAAUCCCACAAUGUCUUGACUACAAAUCAUGCUGAAUUAGAAUAGUAUGUUGAUCGAGGCUGGGUGCCAAAGCAAUGGAUGAUAAUUGUAAGCGCGAUUGGAAAUAUCCAUGAUUUAUUAACGUUCUCUCAUGUUACGGUAUUUUAUUAAAGACAAAUUGAAGUGUA